rnacentral:tRNA from 1 species
GGGCCUGUAGGCUAACGGUAGACUGUCCCGCUCGCAGCGGGAAGAUGGCGGUUCAAUUCCGCCCAGGUCCA